rnacentral:rRNA from 1 species
UUUGAUCAUGGCUCAGGAUGAACGCUAGCGACAGGCUUAACACAUGCAAGUCGAGGGGCAGCGGGGGCGUAGCAAUAUGCCUGCCGGCGACCGGCGCACGGGUGAGUAACACGUAUGUAACCUGCCCUAUGCAGGGGGAUAACCCGGAGAAAUCCGGCCUAAUACCGCGUAACACCUUUUGGGAGCAUUUCUGGGAGGUUAAAGGAGAGAUCCGGCAUAGGAUGGACAUGCGUCGCAUUAGGUAGACGGCGGGGUAACGGCCCACCGUGCCGACGAUGCGUAGGGGUUCUGAGAGGAAGGCCCCCCACACUGGUACUGAGACACGGACCAGACUCCUACGGGAGGCAGCAGUGAGGAAUAUUGGUCAAUGGCCGAGAGGCUGAACCAGCCAAGUCGCGUGAGGGAAGAAUGUCCUAAGGAUUGUAAACCUCUUUUGUCGGGGAGCAAAAAGGCUCUGCGGAGUCGUAUUGAGAGUACCCGAAGAAAAAGCAUCGGCUAACUCCGUGCCAGCAGCCGCGGUAAUACGGAGGAUGCGAGCGUUAUCCGGAUUUAUUGGGUUUAAAGGGUGCGCAGGCGGCGUGUCAAGCAAGCGGUAAAAUAGCGGGGGCUCAACCCCGUCGAGCCGUUUGAACUGGCGCGCUUGAGUUCAGGCGAGGUAGGCGGAAUUCGUGGUGUAGCGGUGAAAUGCAUAGAUAUCACGAAGAACUCCGAUUGCGAAGGCAGCUUACCAGUCUGCGACUGACGCUCAGGCACGAAAGUGUGGGUAUCGAACAGGAUUAGAUACCCCUGGUAGUCCACACAGUAAACGAUGAGCGCUAGGUGUCCGGGUCGCAUGAGACUUGGGAGCCCGAGCGAAAGCGUUAAGCGCUCCACCUGGGGGAGUACGCCGGCAACGGUGAAACUCAAAGGAAUUGACGGGGGCCCGCACAAGCGGAGGAACAUGUGGUUUAAUUCGAUGAUACGCGAGGAACCUUACCCGGGCUCAAACGACUCAGGAAUAUAUUGGAAACGAUGUAGCCAGCAAUGGUCUGAGUCGAGGUGCUGCAUGGUUGUCGUCAGCUCGUGCCGUGAGGUGUCGGCUUAAGUGCCAUAACGAGCGCAACCCCUACCGCCAGUUGCCAACGGGUAAAGCCGGGAACUCUGGCGGGACUGCCGGCGCAAGCUGCGAGGAAGGCGGGGAUGACGUCAAAUCAGCACGGCCCUUACGUCCGGGGCGACACACGUGUUACAAUGGCAGGUACAGCGGGAAGCCACCUGGUGACAGGGAGCGGAACCCGAAAGCCUGUCUCAGUUCGGAUUGGAGUCUGCAACUCGACUCCAUGAAGCUGGAUUCGCUAGUAAUCGCGCAUCAGCCAUGGCGCGGUGAAUACGUUCCCGGGCCUUGUACACACCGCCCGUCAAGCCAUGGGAGCCGGGGGUGCCUGAAGUACGUGACCGCGAGGAGCGUCCUAGGGCAAAACUGGUGACUGGGGCUAAGUCGUAANCAAGGUAG